GACGAACGCUGGCGGCAGGCUUAACACAUGCAAGUCGAGCGGGGUGAUGGUGCUUGCACUAUCACUUAGCGGCGGACGGGUGAGUAAUGCUUAGGAAUCUGCCUAUUAGUGGGGGACAACAUCUCGAAAGGGAUGCUAAUACCGCAUACGUCCUACGGGAGAAAGCAGGGGAUCACUUGUGACCUUGCGCUAAUAGAUGAGCCUAAGUCGGAUUAGCUAGUUGGUGGGGUAAAGGCCUACCAAGGCGACGAUCUGUAGCGGGUCUGAGAGGAUGAUCCGCCACACUGGGACUGAGACACGGCCCAGACUCCGGCGGGAGGCAGCAGUGGGGAAUAUUGGACAAUGGGGGGAACCCUGAUCCAGCCAUGCCGCGUGUGUGAAGAAGGCCUUAUGGUUGUAAAGCACUUUAAGCGAGGAGGAGGCUCUUUUGGUUAAUACCCAAGAUGAGUGGACGUUACUCGCAGAAUAAGCACCGGCUAACUCUGUGCCAGCCGCCGCCGUAA
rnacentral:rRNA from 1 species